rnacentral:rRNA from 1 species
UUCGGUGGCUAUAGCGGAGAGGAAACACCCGUUCCCAUUCCGAACACGGAAGUUAAGCUCUCCAGCGCCGAUGGUACUGCAUGGGUAACUGUGUGGGAGAGUAGGACGCUGCCGAAA